CCACUGCCUCGAAAGGCCUCUGGGGGUGGUCGGCGCGCCCCUCCCCACCUCGCGGGGGCCGUGUGGGCGUCGCUCGGUCGUCGGGGUGCCGGGACGUCGUGAUGAGAACGGCGUCCCAGAGACGGCGGUGACAGAGCCGGGACACGUGACAGUCACAGCGUCACAUUCUGCGGUCCACGAAUUUGGGACCGGGCUGGUCACGUGACGCUGUGGGGGCACCAUGGGGUGAUGUGAGAUGCGGGUGUCUCGGAUUACGUACAAAUGACGUAUUCCUACCCCUUUUGGCAACCAGAUUUCCGUUGGAAGACGCAACGGUUCCGGUGACGGUAGCGAGUUCUCGCGCCCAGGCAGCUCCGCUUCCGCUCGGGGCGCAACAACUUCCGACUCCGCCUUCCCAGCCUUGGGCAAGGAAGAGACGCGACCAUGGGGAUGACAGCUCGGACGAAGAGGACAAGGAGCGGGUCGCGCUGGUGUUGCACCCGGGCACGGCACGGCUGGGGAGCCCGGACGAGGAGUUCUUCCAGAAGGUCCGGACAAUUCGGCAGACUAUUGUCAAGCUGGGGAAUAAAGUCCAGGAGUUGGAGAAACAGCAGGUCACCAUCCUGGCCACGCCCCUUCCCGAGGAGGGCAUGAAGCAGGAGCUGCAGAACCUGCGCGAUGAGAUCAAACAGCUGGGGAGGGAGAUCCGCCUGCAGCUGAAGGCCAUAGAGCCCCAGAAGGAGGAAGCUGAUGAGAACUAUAACUCCAUCAACACAAGAAUGAGAAAAACCCAGGUGGAAUUCAAGAAGUCAGGAAGAGGAACUUCCUUGGGGCGACACUGAAGAGGAACUCCCCUGCAUGGGGUCCUGUCCCAGCAAUUCGUGGAGCUCAUCAACAAGUGCAAUUCAAUGCAGUCCGAAUACCGGGAGAAGAACGUGGAGCGGAUCCGGAGGCAGCUGAAGAUCAGUGAGUUGUGCGUGCCCAGCCUGGCCCACAGGGGCAGGUAAUCCCAACCCAGCCCUGAGCCUGGCCUUUUCCUUCACAGCCAAUGCUGGGAUGGUGUCUGACGAGGAGCUGGAGCAGAUGCUGGACAGUGGGCAAAGCGAGGUGUUUGUGUCCAAUAUCCUGAAGGACACGCAGGUGACUCGACAGGCCUUAAAUGAGAUCUCGGCCCGGCACAGUGAGAUCCAGCAGCUUGAACGCAGUAUUCGUGAGCUGCACGACAUCUUCACUUUUCUGGCUACUGAAGUGGAGAUGCAGGGGGAGAUGAUCAAUCGGAUUGAGAAGAACAUCCUGAGCUCAGCGGACUACGUGGAACGCGGGCAAGAGCACGUCAAGACGGCCCUGGAGAACCAGAAGAAGGCGAGGAAGGUGAGCCUCCCAGGCCCGGCCACUGUCCCAGGCACCCUGUGUGUCUUCCCUGACCCCCUCCUCUCCCACAGAAGAAAGUCUUGAUUGCCAUCUGUGUGUCCAUCACCGUCGUCCUCCUAGCAGUCAUCAUUGGCAUCACAGUGGUUGGAUAAUGUCGCACAUUGUUGGCACUAGGAGCACCAGGGACCCAGGGCCUGGCCUUCUGUCCCAGCAGCCUGGGGGGCAGGGCAGAGCCUCCAGUCGGACCCCUUCCUCACACUGGCCCCUAUGCAGAAGGGCAGACAGUUCUUCUGGGGUUGGCAGCUGCUCAUUCAUGGUGGCCUCCUCCUUCAGGCCUCAAUGCCUGAGGGAGGCCUGCACUGUCCUGAUUGGCCAGGACACACGA
rnacentral:sRNA from 1 species